GCCGCCAUGGUGAAAUUGGCAGACACAAGGGACUUAAAAUCCCUCGAUAGCAAUAUCAUGCCGGUUCAAGUCCGGCUGGCGGCACCA
rnacentral:tRNA from 1 species